GUACCGGUUUAACUCUGGAGGUCCGCUUGUGGCAAAUCCAUGAGCAACAAGGACCGAAGGAGGAAUACGAGCUCAAUCGCAAGUGCGAGCGAAGUGGUCAAGUCUUUCUUCCAAGAAAAGCCUCUAAGGGAGUUUAUCAGGUGCCCGUACCGUAAACCGACACAGGUAGGCUGGGGGAGCACCCCAAGGCGCGCGAGAGAACCCUCGCUAAGGAACUCGGCAAUUUAACCCCGUAACUUCGGAAGAAGGGGUGCCUGAGUAAGGUAUGGUUAUUUAUAAUUGUGCCUGAAAAGGCCGCAGUGAAAUGGCUCCCGCGACUGUUUAUCAAAAACACAGGGCUCUGCAAACUCGUAAGAGAAAGUAUAGGGCCUGACAAGUGCCCGGUGCCGGAAGGUUAAGAGGAGGUGUCAUCUGUCUUCGGACAGGGCAGCACUGAAUCCAAGCCCUGGCAAACGGCGGCCGUAACUAUAACGGUCCUAAGGUAGCGAAAUUCCUUGUCGGGUAAGUUCCGACCCGCACGAAUCUUGUAACGAUGGAAGCGCUGUCUCGGCAAGUGGCUCGGCGAAUUUGUGAUACCUGCGAAGACGCAGGUUACCUACGGCUAGACGAAAAGACCCCGGAACCUUUACUGUAACUUGUUAUUGAAUUUUAGGAUAAUAUGCGUAGCAUAGGUGGGAGGCUUUGAAGCCUGAACUUCGGUUUGGGUGGAGCCGCCAGUGAAAUACCACUCUUAUUAUUUUGAAAUCCUAACCUGUGUAUGUGAAUCCAUACCAGGGACAGUGACAGGUGGGCAGUUUGACUGGGGCGGUUGCCUCCUAAAAUGUAACGGAGGCGCCCAAAGGUUCCCUCAGGCUGUUUGGCAAUCAGCUGUUGAGUGUAAAGGCAAAAGGGAGCCUGACUGCGAGACCGACAGGUCGAGCAGAAGCGAAAGCUGGGCUUAGUGAUCCGGUGGUUCCAUGUGGAAGGGCCAUCGCUCAGCGGAUAAAAGGUACUCCGGGGAUAACAGGCUGAUCCUGCCCAAGAGUUCAUAUCGACGGCAGGGUUUGGCACCUCGAUGUCGGCUCAUCGCAUCCUGGGGCUGUAGCCGGUCCCAAGGGUUGGUCUGUUCGCCCAUUAAAGCGGUACGUGAGCUGGGUUCAGAACGUCGUGAGACAGUUCGGUCUCUAUCUGCCGUAGGCGUAGGAAACUUGAAAGGAGCUGGCCCUAGUACGAGAGGACCGGGCUGGACGAACCUCUAGUGUACCAGUUAUCCCGCCAGGGGUAAUCGCUGGGUAGCUAUGUUCGGAAGGGAUAACCGCUGAAAGCAUCUAAGUGGGAAGCCCACCUUGAGAUUAGGUUUCCCUCUACUGUGAGAGCAGUAGACUGAAGACCCCAGGUAGACCACCUGGUUGAUAGGCCUCAUGUGUAAGUUCCGUAAGGGAUUAAGCUGAGAGGUACUAAUCGGUCGUGCGACUUGACCC
rnacentral:rRNA from 1 species